rnacentral:lncRNA from 1 species
CAGACGCACUAGGAUGACGUCACGGCGCAUGCGUAGUUGCGCGCAGCUUGCGGGAGCUCGACGUGGCGUCGCCUGGUUGCCAUGGUGAGGCAGUUUCGUGCUACACGCACAAAGUACGGCUGGCUUAGACUGCGGAAGACGACGACGCUCGAGCCAAUGCUGAUGAUAAUUUCGUGGCACACGCACAAAUUACGGCUGGGUUAAACAGCUUCUCCGUUAAAAUUGACUAACUUAAUAUCCAAACAUGUGUCUGUCGUAGAACCAAAAACAAAAACUGCUCUUCGAAGUCACGAGAAGAACAAAAACCAGUGAAACAGUAUGCAGCUCGAAAACAUAAUGAACGACCCGACUUGAGUCAUUUUCAUUUUUAUGUGUAUCUCACUAUCAAAAUGAGUAAAGUGGCUGACACACCAGGUCUACCACAAAUCAACCGCACACUAAUUGUAAGUCCAGCGUUCCCAGCGACGUAUAUGGAAACGCAGCCAUGCACUAAAGUGCUCUAAUAUAAAAGGAUAAGAAAAACCGUAUACACUACUGUUUUCUUCGUAAAGCUGCAGGUAUUGGAAAAA